rnacentral:rRNA from 1 species
GAUCAAGUGACUAAGCGUACACGGUGGAUGCCUUGGCAGUCAGAGGCGAUGAAGGACGUUAUAGCAUGCGAUAAGCUACGGUUAGCCUGCAAAUUGGCAUUGACCCGUAGAUUU